GAGACACCCUUCUGGGGCAAGACUUGCUUCAGUAAGGCUUUGGUGCUCACUGAGUCUGCCCCCUGAGUGUGUCCCU
rnacentral:pre_miRNA from 1 species